rnacentral:rRNA from 1 species
UGAACGCUGGCGACGUGCCUAAUACAUGCAAGUCGAGCGAACGGACGAGAAGCUUGCUUCUCUGAUGUUAGCGGCGGACGGGUGAGUAACACGUGGAUAACCUACCUAUAAGACUGGGAUAACUUCGGGAAACCGUAGCUAAUACCGGAUAAUAUUUUGAACCGCAUGGUUCAAAAGUGAAAGACGGUCUUGCUGUCACUUAUAGAUGGAUCCGCGCUGCAUUAGCUAGUUGGUAAGGUAACGGCUUACCAAGGCAACGAUGCAUAGCCGACCUGAGAGGGUGAUCGGCCACACUGGAACUGAGACACGGUCCAGACUCCUACGGGAGGCAGCAGUAGGGAAUCUUCCGCAAUGGGCGAAAGCCUGACGGAGCAACGCCGCGUGAGUGAUGAAGGUCUUCGGAUCGUAAAACUCUGUUAUUAGGGAAGAACAUAUGUGUAAGUAACUGUGCACAUCUUGACGGUACCUAAUCAGAAAGCCACGGCUAACUACGUG